GAUCUUGGGGGCGCAACCAGGCAGCUGAGCGGAGAGAAGGAGCUUGCUCUCUUGAGAGCGGCGGAGGACGAGUGGGCCUGGAAUUGCCUGGUGUGGGGGAAAGAAAAAGAAAGGAACGCUAUCCGCAUACGUCCUACGGGAGAAAGUGGGGGAUCUUCGGACCUCACGCUAUCAUCAUGAGCCUAGGUCGGAUUAGCUUGUAGGUGAGGUAAUGGCUCACCUAGGCAACGAUCCGUAACUGGUCUGAGAGGAUGAUCAGUCACACUGGAACUGAGACACGGUCCAGACUCCUACGGGAGGCAGCAGUGGGGAAUAUUGGACAAUGGGCGAAAGCCUGAUCCAGCCAUGCCGCGUGUGUGAAGAAGGUCUUCGGAUUGUAAAGCACUUUAAGUUGGGAGGAAGGGUUGUAGCUUAAUACGCUGCAGCUUUGACGUUACCAACAGAAUAAGCACCGGCUAACUCUGUGCCAGCAGCCGCGGUAAUACAGAGGGUGCAAGCGUUAAUCGGAAUUACUGGGCGUAAAGCGCGCGUAGGCGGCUUGAUAAGAUGGGUGUGAAAUCCCCGGGCUUAACCUGGGAACUGCAUCCAUAACUGUCUGGCUAGAGUACAGUAGAGGGUGGUGGAAUUUCCUGUGUAGCGGUGAAAUGCGUAGAUAUAGGAAGGAACACCAGUGGCGAAGGCGACCACCUGGACUGAUACUGACGCUGAGGUGCGAAAGCGUGGGGAGCAAACAGGAUUAGAUACCCUGGUAGUCCACGCCGUAAACGAUGUCAACUAGCCGUUGGAAUCCUUGGAGAUUUUUAGUUGGCGCCAGCCUAACGCCACUAAGGUUGAACCCGGCCCUUU
rnacentral:rRNA from 1 species